rnacentral:antisense_RNA from 1 species
ACAAAAGCAAAAUGGGAAAAUGGCAAACAGAUCCUUUUCAAUUAGCUGCUGCAUUUAUCUCUUCCCCCAAAAGAGAAUCUUCUGCUGCUUCUGUUUCUUCAUCUGCACAACGGGGAUGUAGCCAUCAUACAUGCCUGCAAGGCUGUAGUGAGAUCCUGGACAGGAAAGCAUUCUGAAAACUGAAAAGUACAAUGCACCUGUGUUUCUGCCUAAGCUCUCUAAGCAUGACAGCAGGAGCGCCCGGGUCUCCAUCCCGGAGAGAUGUGUCCACACUCCGCCGCCACUGCUCUCUUCAUCAGCAACUUGCUCCUGCAGUCGCUGCCCAAAGUUUCGCGGAGCACCCGGCGACCUGGCCGUCGGUCAAUCCUGAGAAGCCCAGGGAUUCGGGGCGCGGAGACUGGGGGCUGGGCCCCGGGAAUCCCAAAGACGCCCCCGCGGCCAGGAAGGGAGUGACAGGUGCGACGCGCGGUCGCGGGCGGCGGGAGAGCGGACCACGGAAACCGCGUGUGGGCGCGCGAGGGAGGCGGCGGCCACGCGCUCUCCUUAGGCCGCUCCCUGAGACGCCCCCGCGACGUCCCUGGCCCCGCGCUCUGGAACCCGCGACCCUCGCGCCGCUUUCGGCCCCGCGGCGCCCCAGAUCCCACGGCCUCCCGGAGCGGCGCAGCUGGGUCGGGCUCACGCUCGCAGCGCCGGAAGGGUUGAGGACCGCCGGGGGCACCGUGCGCACGGGGUUCUUCCCGCGCGAGCCGGGGCUGUCGGGGGGUGGGCGCACGCGCACCCGGGCGCGCCGCCGUAACCCCUUCCUCCCCGCGCGGCCCCCGCACUCCCACCCACCCACCACUCACCGUCGAUGUCUCCCAGGGUCAGCUCGUCGCCCAGCUCCGUGAGGGUCUCCAUGGUCUCCAGACCGCCCAGCUCGCCGCUCUCGUCCAUCGCCCGGCUCAGCGCAGAAGCCCCCCUGCCGUCCCGCUCAGGGAGACGCGGGGGCGGUGCCGUCGCCACCGCCCAUGACACCCGACAACCCCCGCCCGGCACCGCCUCACCGACGGGUGCCACCCGCCGCCAUGUUUGCGUUGCGCCCGGGCGCCGCACCGAAAGGGCGGGGCGGGAUUCCCCCGCCCCAGCCCGCGCCCCCUGCGGCCCCGCCUCCAGGCCGCGCGCCCCCCUGUUUGUUGUCAAUGGGACCAGGCUCAUCUCAGCCAAUGGGCGAGCGAAGCGGUGCGUGGGGUGAUGGCGCGUCAUCGAUCAGCAGCUCAGAUUUGCAUAGUGAGGUCCCUCCCCCCGCGGCCUCGGAGCGAAUGCCUGGAGUAGCCGUCCGGUCAUCAUCUUAACCUUCUCCGCCUUGUUUAAAGGAGCCGCUGCCUUCUCCGUUGGAUCUGCGCCACACGCAAGUCCGUCCACUGGCCUGGGAGUGAAGGGUUAACAGGCCACCCUCCACCUGCGACCGCUGGCCGCCUCCAGCCCUGGCUGGGAGCACAUUACGUCAUCUUCCCAGCUGCCUACCCCCGCCCUGCCCGCCUGAGAAAGCCAGCGGAGUCAAACCUGGACCCCAGCGCUCGGGACGGGAGUCCGGGUCAUCCAAGUCCCGCUUCUCCCAGCCUCCUUACAAAGGCGGGCACGGAGGCUUGACAAGGUUGCAGAUUGUCCCAGGGCGGUCAGGAUUUUACGUCUUCUGCUUUGCACCCGCCGUGACCUCGCGCUUACUCCAGUGGUCCUCAAUCUCUGGCACCUCGGAACCACUGAGGACCUGAAAACCACGCCAGUGCCCAGGCCCACCGACGGCCUCCUGAGAGGGGGGCCCCGGGCACGAGUUUUUUGAAAAAGUUCCACCGGGAUUCUGAAGUGCAGCCCACCCACUCCUUCAAGCACCUCACUGCCCCAUCUUGCAGCUGGUCGUGUUGUAAACUUCUAGGAAUUUAUCCAAAGGAAUAAAAAUUACAAGUGCUUAAAGAAGUGCUGUAACUAGGAAGAAGUGAGAAUAAGGAAAUGAAUAUGUAAAUUACAUCCACACGAUGGAAUACCAUGGGAUCAUUAAAAAUUACGCACACAAAUGUAUAUUUAUUAGCAAGAAAAGGCGUUCACAAUAUAUUGAUAAAAGGGAAAAGUAAGUUUCCUGCCAGUUUGUGAGAGGCAGCUGUUGCUUAGUGAUCAAUAAUUAAGAACACACAGGCUGUGUGGAGGCAGACACAUGGAUCCACUAAUUCACUGUGACCUUGGGUUAAUUGUUCUAAGCCUCAGUUUAGUCAUCUCUAAAAUGGGGAUAAAAUAGCAUCCCUCAUAGCUGUGGUUAAGUGAGAUUAUUUGCACAUUCAAUUGACAAUAUUUAUUGAACAUCUCUGUGGCAGGGAAACAAAUGGUUCCUGCCCUCUGAGAGCUUCCAGUCUAGCAAAAAAAAAAAAAUCAGAAAUCCCACACCCGUAUUAAACAUAAAAAUAAAUUACAGAUGAUGGUACAAGUGAUCAAGGAAAGGUAAUGGAUGUGAUGAAACUAACAAGGGCCCUGACUUGUGCUGUCAAGAAGCCUCUGAAGAAGUGACAUUUAAGAUGAAACCUAAAAUUAUGAGAGAACUGCAGCUGUUACAGCCAAAGGGGAAAUGAUGACAUGGACAAAGGCCUCGAGGCAGGAGGAGCUGCUGGCAGCCAGCUCUCGGCAUAAGCUUUGGCAUACAGUAAGUGCCUUGCAUACUGCUGUAUUGCAGUUGAAAAAAUAAGGAUCUGGCCAGGCGCGGUGGCUCACACCGGUAAUUCCAGCACUUUAGGAGGCCGAGGUGUGCAGAUCAUUUGAGGUCAGGAGUUGGAGACCAGCCUGACCAACAUGGUGAAACCCCGUCUCUACUAAAAAUACAAAAAUUAGCCGGGUGUGGUGGCGCAUGCCUGUAAUCCCAGCUAACCGGUAGGAGAACUGCCGGAACCUGGGAGAUAGAGGCUGCAGUGAGCUGAGAUCAUGCCACUGCACUCCAGCCUGGGAGACAGAGCAAGACUCUGUCUC